GACGAACGCUGGCGGCGUGCUUAACACAUGCAAGUCGAACGGAAAGGCCCUGCUUUUGUGGGGUGCUCGAGUGGCGAACGGGUGAGUAACACGUGAGUAACCUGCCCUUGACUUUGGGAUAACUUCAGGAAACUGGGGCUAAUACCGGAUAGGAGCUCCUGCUGCAUGGUGGGGGUUGGAAAGUUUCGGCGGUUGGGGAUGGACUCGCGGCUUAUCAGCUUGUUGGUGGGGUAGUGGCUUACCAAGGCUUUGACGGGUAGCCGGCCUGAGAGGGUGACCGGCCACAUUGGGACUGAGAUACGGCCCAGACUCCUACGGGAGGCAGCAGUGGGGAAUAUGGCACAAUGGGCGGAAGCCUGAUGCAGCAACGCCGCGUGCGGGAUGACGGCCUUCGGGUUGUAAACCGCUUUCGCCUGUGACGAAGCGUGAGUGACGGUAAUGGGGAAAGAAGCACCGGCUAACUACGG
rnacentral:rRNA from 1 species